GGCACUUUGGCCGAGUGGUCUAAGGCGCCGUGUUCAGGUCUUCAGAUGUUCCGCACAUCUGGCCCUCUUCGCGGUCUAGUAAUAGGCGAGGGUUCGAAUCCCUCAGGUGUCA